UACGUAGGUGGCAAGCGUUAUCCGGAUUUAUUGGGCGUAAAGGGAACGCAGGCGGUCUUUUAAGUCUGAUGUGAAAGCCUUCGGCUUAACCGGAGUAGUGCAUUGGAAACUGGGAGACUUGGGUGCAGAAGAGGAGAGUGGAACUCCAUGUGUAGCGGUGAAAUGCGUAGAUAUAUGGAAGAGCACCAGUGGCGAAAGCGGCUCUCUGGUCUGUAACUGACGCUGAGGUUCGAAAGCGUGGGUAGCAAACAGG
rnacentral:rRNA from 1 species